rnacentral:rRNA from 1 species
AAGUGUGAAACUCAAAGGAAUUGACGGGGGCCCGCACAAGCGGUGGAGUAUGUGGUUUAAUUCGAUGCAACGCGAAGAACCUUACCAGGGUUUGACAUCCUGCGAACCUCUUAGAAAUUUGAGGGUGCCUUCGGGAAUGCAGUGACAGGUGGUGCAUGGCUGUCGUCAGCUCGUGUCGUGAGAUGUUGGGUUAAGUCCCGCAACGAGCGCAACCCACGUUUUUAGUUGCCAGCAUUUAGUUGGGCACUCUAGAAAGACCGCCGGUGAUAAACCGGAGGAAGGUGUGGAUGACGUCAAGUCAUCAUGCCCCUUACACCCUGGGCUACACACGUACUACAAUGCUACGGAUAAAGGGCAGCAAACUCGCGAGAGCUAGCAAAUCCCAUAAACCGUGGCUCAGUUCAGAUCGUAGGCUGCAACUCGCCUACGUGAAGUAGGAAUCGCUAGUAAUCGCAGGUCAGCAUACUGCGGUGAAUACGUUCCCGGGCCUUGUACACACCGCCCGUCACACCAUGGAAGUUGGCCAUGCCCGAAGUCGUUACUCCAACCCUUGUGGAGGAGGACGCCGAAGGUGGGGCUAAUGACUGGGGUGAAGUCGUAACAAGGUA